rnacentral:rRNA from 1 species
GAUGAACGCUGGCGGUGUGCCUAAUACAUGCAAGUCGAGCGAACAGACGAGGAGCUUACUCCUCUGACGUUAGCGGCGGACGGGUGAGUAACACGUGGAUAACCUACCUAUAAGACUGGGAUAACUUCGGGAAACCGGAGCUAAUACCGGAUAACAUGUUGAACCGCAUGGUUCAACAGUGAAAGACGGUCUUGCUGGCACUUAUAGAUGGAUCCGCGUCGCAUUAGCUAGUUGGUAAGGUAACGGCUUACCAAGGCAACGAUGCGUAGCCGACCUGAGAGGGUGAUCGGCCACCCUGGAACUGAGACACGGUCCAGACUCCUACGGGAGGCAGCAGUAGGGAAUCUUCCGCAAUGGGCGAAAGCCUGACGGAGCAACGCCGCGUGAGUGAAGAAGGUCUUCGGAUCGUAAAGCUCUGUUAUUAGGGAAGAACAAAUGUGUAAGUAACUAUGCACGUCUUGACGGUACCUAAUCAGAAAGCCACGGCUAACUACGUG